ACGACAAUAGAGUGGAUCAUGUCCCACGCGCUACGACUUCAACGCUCAAAUCGUUCACACAUGGAAGAUCUAUAUAAGAAACCUCCCUGGCCGCGAUACUGUCACCCACUUUUGUUGUAACGAGCGUGGUUGCAUAGCUUUAGCGACUCUGCAACUUUUGAUGGCUUCCAGCUCGGGAGAAACGACCAGUAAAAUUGGGCCAACGCAAUAUAGCUAUGAAGAACUAGCAAAUGCAACUGGUCA
rnacentral:misc_RNA from 1 species